UCUAAUUAAAAUUAGAUGAGGGGAGAGCUC
rnacentral:piRNA from 1 species